CCUACGGUGGACAGCAGUCGAGAAUCAUUCACAAUGGGGGAAACCCUGAUGGUGCGACGCCGCGUGGGGGAAUGAAGGUCUUCGGAUUGUAAACCCCUGUCAUGUGGGAGCAAAUUAAAAAGAUAGUACCACAAGAGGAAGAGACGGCUAACUCUGUGCCAGCAGCCGCGGUAAUACAGAGGUCUCAAGCGUUGUUCGGAAUCACUGGGCGUAAAGCGUGCGUAGGCUGUUUCGUAAGUCGUGUGUGAAAGGCGCGGGCUCAACCCGCGGACGGCACAUGAUACUGCGAGACUAGAGUAAUGGAGGGGGAACCGGAAUUCUCGGUGUAGCAGUGAAAUGCGUAGAUAUCGAGAGGAACACUCGUGGCGAAGGCGGGUUCCUGGACAUUAACUGACGCUGAGGCACGAAGGCCAGGGGAGCGAAAGGGAUUAGAUACCCCGGUAGUC
rnacentral:rRNA from 1 species